GAGGGAGAACUUACUGCCUUGUAGGAGGAGGAAAGCUAGCACCUUGGACAGAGCAGGAGUGAGAGCGAGUGAGAGCGAGCUCCUGGCUGACUGCUAAGAUGGCAUGCUGAGGCCCUGAGAUAAGGGUGGAGAAGGUACUGGGGCUGCAGGGAAAUGGCCCAGUGAAGUAGACUGGGAGGCUGGAGGCCACGCAGUGCGUGGCUGCCAUUUACAGGGUCCCUGGGCUGGGACCUCGAGUAAUGGCCAGGCCCAGGUUCCCCCUCACUCCCACUUGCCACUGAGGAAGUGCUGGACCAUUGGACUGCAGUACAUUCCCCCGGAAAGGGGGAGCACAAAGUGUGGCACAUUCGGAGGGCUGUGUCCUGAAGAGGACGCCACGGUCUUUGGAGCAACAUGGGUCCAGGACUGGAAAUGGUGGUGGGCGAGACACCACCGAGAGUUGGCAUACCUAUCUGUGGAGCUGAUCUGCAGGAUGACCAGCAGGAGGUGCUAGUGUGGUGAGUCACACCCUAUCACAGUCCAGGGAAGCAAGGACCAGAGGCUGGACCAUGAGUACUGAGUCCAAGUGGUGUCUGCUUGGGGAGUAAACUGAUGCUAGCCACAUCUGGAGGGGCCUGAGGCACAGACUUGUAUACUGUACCAUCAGGCCCAGCGCUGUGAAGGUAGCUUGGACUGUGUUGAUGCUGUUCUGUACUUGGGCCUAUGAGCGGCCUUUGAUCAGCCAGUUGAGGUACAGGUGGACUCACCCCAUCGCCUGAGGGCUCCUGUCUUGGAGGUGCAGAGAACCAAGGAGGCUGUUAGGGCCUGAAGUGCUUCCUGGAAGCUGAUGGGGGUAUAAAGGCCUAAGGAGUGCAGGGUGGCCCUCGAGUCUCGUGUGUGUCUGUUCCAAAAAAAAAGAGCAGCCUUCAAAGGGGAGGUUCUGGACAGAUUGUUGGACCUCUUCUGGGAGUUCGCAGGACUGGAGCCAAGAAUCACCUCAUGGUGAUGGCUGAGGACACUGUCCUGACUGCCCAGUUGGCUGCAUCCAGAGCUGCCUGAUUGGAGGUCCUGGCUACAUUCUUACCCUCUUCCAGGAGGGCAGUGAACUCCCGCCUCAACACAUGUGGCAGUGAGUCUUUAAAUUUACAUGCGG